UGCGUAGGCGGCUUGGUAAGUCAGAUGUGAAAUCCUGGGGCUCAACCUCGGAACUGCAUUUGAUACUGCCAGGCUAGAGUACUGGAGAGGAGACUGGAAUUCACGGUGUAGCAGUGAAAUGCGUAGAUAUCGUGAGGAAGGCCAGUGGCGAAGGCGAGUCUCUGGACAGUAACUGACGCUGAGGCACGAAGGCUAGGGGAGCAAACG
rnacentral:rRNA from 1 species